UACGGAGGGGGCUAGCGUUGUUCGGAAUUACUGGGCGUAAAGCGCACGUAGGCGGAUCAGCAAGUUAGGGGUGAAAUCCCGGGCUCAACCCCGGAACUGCCUUUAAAACUGUUGGUCUGGAGGUCGAGAGAGGUGAGUGGAAUUCCGAGUGUAGAGGUGAAAUUCGUAGAUAUUCGCAAGAACACCAGUGGCGAAGGCGGCUCACUGGCCCGAUACUGACGCUGAGGCACG
rnacentral:rRNA from 1 species